rnacentral:rRNA from 1 species
GCCGGAGGAAGGUGAGGAUGAUGUCAAGUCAGCAUGACCUUUAUAUCCAGGGCUACACACACGCUACAAUGGUCUGUACAAUGGGUAGCCAAGCCGCGAGGCGGAGCCAAUCCUGAAAGCAGGCCUCAGUUCAGAUUGCAGUCUGCAACUCGACUGCAUGAAGCCGGAGUUGCUAGUAACCGCAGGUCAGCAAUACUGCGGUGAAUACGUUCCCGGGUCUU